rnacentral:SRP_RNA from 1 species
GCUGGGUGUGGUAGCGCACACCUGUAAUCCCAGCUACUGGGGAGGCUGAGGCAGGAGAAUUGUUUGAACCCAGGGGGCGGAGGAUGCAGUGAGCUGAGAUCACGCCACUGCACUACAGCCUGGGUGACAGAGUGAGAUUCUGUCUCAA